rnacentral:piRNA from 1 species
UGAUUUCUUUUGUUUCUGCUUUGACCU